CGCGGCCUAUCAGCUUGUUGGUGAGGUAAUGGCUCACCAAGGCGACGACGGGUAGCCGGCCUGAGAGGGUGACCGGCCACACUGGGACUGAGACACGGCCCAGACUCCUACGGGAGGCAGCAGUGGGGAAUAUUGCACAAUGGGCGAAAGCCUGAUGCAGCGACGCCGCGUGAGGGACGACGGCCUUCGGGUUGUAAACCUCUUUCAGUAGGGAACAAGGCAUCAUUUUUGUGGUGUUGAGGGUACUUGCAGAAAAAGCACCGGCUAACUACGUGCCAGCAGCCGCGGUAAUACGUAGGGUGCAAGCGUUAUCCGGAAUUAUUGGGCGUAAAGAGCUCGUAGGCGGUUUGUCGCGUCUGUCGUGAAAGUCCGGGGCUCAACUCCGGAUCUGCGGUGGGUACGGGCAGACUAGAGUGAUGUAGGGGAGACUGGAAUUCCUGGUGUAGCGGUGGAAUGCGCAGAUAUCAGGAGGAACACCGAUGGCGAAGGCAGGUCUCUGGGCAUUAACUGACGCUGAGGAGCGAAAGCAUGGGGAGCGAACAGGAUUAGAUACCCUGGUAGUCCAUGCCGUAAACGUUGGGCACUAGGUGUGGGGGACAUUCCACGUUUUCCGCGCCGUAGCUAACGCAUUAAGUGCCCCGCCUGGGGAGUACGG
rnacentral:rRNA from 1 species